UGAAAAUAUUCUGGACGUGUUCAAUCCUGCCCAGCUGUAGAAUGUGGCCUCUGCAGCUUAGCAUUAGAAGGCAGAGCCCUCAAGUUAUUUAAAGACAGCAGGAAAAUGGACUUUUCAGAGAAGAAGGUUAUGUAAAGGACAGAUUGGAUUUAUCUUGUGGAGCUGAAGGGCAGAAAUUUUAGCCUGUCCUUACAAGGCAGUGCAGAAAAUGCAGCUCAGGUAUUCUAUUUUUGGCAGCUUGCUACUAAAAUAAAGGGCCAGGAUGAUUCUCAUAUCAAAAUAUUAUUGAGAAUUAACUGAAUUUUAUUGGCCU
rnacentral:lncRNA from 1 species